rnacentral:rRNA from 1 species
AUUGAACGCUGGCGGCAGGCCUAACACAUGCAAGUCGAACGAGUGGCGGACGGGUGAGUAAUGUCUGGGAAACUGCCCGAUGGAGGGGGAUAACUACUGGAAACGGUAGCUAAUACCGCAUACCAUCGGAUGUGCCCAGAUGGGAUUAGCUAGUUGGUGGGGUAACGGCUCACCUAGGCGACGAUCCCUAGCUGGUCUGAGAGGAUGACCAGCGACACUGGAACGGAGACACGGUCCGGACUCCUACGGGAGGCAGCAGUGGGGAAUAUUGCACAAUGGGCGGAAGCCUGAUGCAGCCAUGCCGCGGGUAUGAAGAAGGCCUUCGGGUUGUAAAGUACUUUCGGCGGGGAGGCGUUACUCGCAGAAGAAGCACCGGCUAACUCCGUGCCAGCAGCCGCGGUAAUAC